rnacentral:rRNA from 1 species
AAAGCGGAAUUCCUAGUGUAGCGGUGAAAUGCGUAGAUAUUAGGAGGAACACCAGCGGCGAAGGCGGCUUUCUGGACUGUAACUGACACUGAGGCACGAAAGCGUGGGUAGCAAACAGGAUUAGAUACCCUGGUAGUCCACGCCGUAAACGAUGAGCACUAGGUGUCGGGGUCGCAAGACUUCGGUGCCGCAGUUAACGCAUUAAGUGCUCCGCCUGGGGAGUACGCACGCAAGUGUAAAACUCAAAGGAAUUGACGGGGACCCGCACAAGCAGCGGAGCAUGUGGUUUAAUUCGAAGCAACGCGAAGAACCUUACCAGGGCUUGACAUCCUGCUGACAGGACCUUAACCGGUCCCUUCUUCGGACAGCAGAGACAGGUGGUGCAUGGUUGUCGUCAGCUCGUGUCGUGAGAUGUUGGGUUAAGUCCCGCAACGAGCGCAACCCUUGUCGCUAGUUACUAACAUUCAGUUGAGGACUCUAGCGAGACUGCCGAGGUCAACUCGGAGGAAGGUGGGGAUGACGUCAAAUCAUCAUGCCCCUUAUGUUCUGGGCUACACACGUGCUACAAUGGUCGGUACAAUGAGAGGCAAUACUGUGAAGUGGAGCAAAUCACCAAAACCGAUCCCAGUUCGGAUUGUAGGCUGCAACUCGCCUACAUGAAGUUGGAGUUGCUAGUAAUCGCAGAUCAGAAUGCUGCGGUGAAUGCGUUCCCGGGUCUUGUACACACCGCCCGUCACACCAUGGAAGUUGGGGGUGCCCGAAGUCGGUUAGUUAAUCUAUCGCCUAAGGCAAAACCAAUGACUGGGGUGAAGUCGUAACAAGGUAGCCGUAUCGGAAGGUGCGGCUGGAUCA